GCCUCUAUGGUGAAACGGUAAACGCGCCGGCCUCAGAAGCCGGAGCCAUCAACAUGGCAUGCAGGUUCGAGUCCUGCUAGGGGCA
rnacentral:tRNA from 1 species